rnacentral:lncRNA from 1 species
AGAACUUCUCAAACCUAAAUAGAGCUCUGGGCAAUCAUGGACUAUCAGUAGUAAUGAGAAGCAGAUAGUAGUUUGAAGCGAUCCUCAAAAGGUGCUGUCCCUGAUGGCUAGGGAACCAUUGGAGCCAGGCGGUGGUAGCAAGCAUUCAAUCAAUCCACUCCCAAACCCUAACUCCCCCAAGAUGGUUGUUACACCAAGUGAACCAGGAUCCGGUGUAACCA